rnacentral:rRNA from 1 species
UGGCGGAAUGCUUUACACAUGCAAGUCGAACGGCAGCACGGGGCAACCUGGUGGCGAGUGGCGAACGGGUGAGUAAUACAUCGGAACGUGCCCAAUCGUGGGGGAUAACGUAGCGAAAGUUACGCUAAUACCGCAUACGAUCUACGGAUGAAAGCGGGGGAUCGCAAGACCUCGCGCGAAUGGAGCGGCCGAUGUCAGAUUAGGUAGUUGGUGGGGUAAAGGCUCACCAAGCCGACGAUCUGUAGCUGGUCUGAGAGGACGACCAGCCACACUGGGACUGAGACACGGCCCAGACUCCUACGGGAGGCAGCAGUGGGGAAUUUUGGACAAUGGGCGCAAGCCUGAUCCAGCCAUUCCGCGUGCAGGAUGAAGGNCUUCGGGUUGUAAACUGC